GUCAGUUCAGCAUUUCGCUAUUCCAAAUACGAUUCAGUGUAGAGGUUUUUGAUGUCACUGUUCAAAAAUAACUAGUAUGACUACUAAAGUGAUUUGCGUGUGGGCAUACUUAAUCAUCGUUUAUAAGAGAUAGGAGGUUUAUUAAAACAUUUGAUGUCUGUGGAACGUUAUGAUUCCACACAUAAACUACCUAGUUGAAGAACAGUCUGUAUAUUAUCAUGAAAGUGUUUAUAUAGAAUUUUGGAUGUUGUUAUGUAUGCUAUCAGUGAUGGAUCAAUAUUUCCUGUAGACUAAUGAAAGAGCAUAGUAUUUUAUUGCUAAUAUAUUUCUCGAUACAUGGAGUAGUUGAAUCACAUUGUUUAAUGUAUUUGAUUGACGGAGAAACAAAGAAAUCUGAAGAAUUUGUUUAUACUAUUGAAGUGUACAACCCAACAUCAACACCUGAUCCAUGGAAAUAUUGUCAACAAGUUACAUUGACGUCUGUGUGUUUAGUUGAAUAGUUGUUAAUAGGCCACCACAUUUUAUAUCUCAUUAGCAUUAAUUAUAGUCUUAUUAUUGGUUGUAACACAGAUGAUUAA